UUUCACACGGUUUCCAUACGCAACUGCAAGUUGUCAGCCAUGUUAAUAUCGACCGUACGGUCUUCUUCUCAGCCAAGUCUUUUGCUUUAUGUAGUAAUUCAAGUGGAUUAAUGAAGCAUUCCCUCACGAACUGAGAGUUUGGGUGAGCUGGUUUAGAGCAGAAACGCUUAUGCGCAUCAAGGCCCAUAACACCUUCUAUUUGUGACGGUCUUCUGCUUAUCCGCACCAAGGCCCCUGAGUCAUAACAGCUUCAAUUUGCGACUGUCUUCCGAGGAGAUGGCUCAACAAGACAAUCCUACUUGUGGCAGCCACGAAGACAAAGGAGUUCUUAUUGGUCAAGUAAAUGGUGGAGACCGAAUACAAUUGAUCAGGAUGAAAUUGGGAAAAUAUUGAAAUCUAAUUUUUUUCAAAAUUUUCUAUGUUUUAGUAAAUUGCAAUUUUGAGGGUCUUCGGUGCAUUUUUGGACAAAUAUGCUG